rnacentral:rRNA from 1 species
UACGAAGGGGGCUAGCGUUGCUCGGAAUCACUGGGCGUAAAGGGUGCGUAGGCGGGUCUUUAAGUCAGGGGUGAAAUCCUGGAGCUCAACUCCAGAACUGCCUUUGAUACUGAGGAUCUUGAGUUCGGGAGAGGUGAGUGGAACUGCGAGUGUAGAGGUGAAAUUCGUAGAUAUUCGCAAGAACACCAGUGGCGAAGGCGGCUCACUGGCCCGAUACUGACGCUGAGGUGCGAAGGUCAGGGGAGCAAAGCGGG